rnacentral:rRNA from 1 species
GACGAACGCUGGCGGCGUGCUUAACACAUGCAAGUCGAACGGAAAGGCCCUGCUUGCAGGGUCCUCGAGUGGCGAACGGGUGAGUAACACGGGGGUGAUCUGCCCUGCACUUCGGGAUAAGCCUGGGAAACUGGGUCUAAUACCGGAUAGGAGCCAUUUUUAGUGUGAUGGUUGGAAAGUUUUUUCGGUGUAGGAUGAGCUUGCGGCCUAUCCGCUUGUUGGUGGGGUAAUGGCCUACCAAGGCGGCGACGGGUAGCCGGCCUGCGAGGGUGGACGGCCACACUGGGACUGAGACUCGGCCCAGACUCCGACGGGAGGCAGCAGUGGGGAAUAUUGCACAAUGGGCGCCAGCCUGAUGCAGCGACGCCGCGUGGGGGAUGACGGCCUUCGGGUUGUAAACUCCUUUCGCUAGGGACGAAGCUUUUUGUGACGGUACCUAGAUAAGAAGCACCGGCUAACUACGUG